GUGACCGUGGCUCAGCGGCAGAGCACUCAACCGGGAACUUAGAGUCACCGGUUCGAAUCCGGCAUGUGAUG